CAAAGACUCAACGAACGAACUUCUCCCAUUUCGUCGUUCGAAGAACUGGCUUGGUGAAACUGCCCAAACUGACUUCAAACGGUAAAGUUUCUAGAUCGAUUGCCCGGCAAUCGUGUCCUGAUCGAACGAAAACGUCUUGGCAAGCAAUAGAAGAGAGUUCUGAAUGAAUAUAUACAAGUACAACCAUGGCAACUGCUUCUGCUUCAGGUAGUUCAAGUAGCUUAAGUCUUGGAGAUGAGCAAAAAAGAUGGCUUGUGGUUGGAAUAUGCCUUAACAAAGAUCUUUUACC